rnacentral:rRNA from 1 species
UGGGGAAUCUUCCGCAAUGGACGAAAGUCUGACGGAGCAACGCCGCGUGAGUGAUGACGGCCUUCGGGUUGUAAAGCUCUGUUAAUCGGGACGAAAGGCCUUCUUGCGAAUAGUGAGAAGGAUUGACGGUACCGGAAUAGAAAGCCACGGCUAACUACGUGCCAGCAGCCGCGGUAAUACGUAGGUGGCAAGCGUUGUCCGGAAUUAUUGGGCGUAAAGCGCGCGCAGGCGGAUCAGUCAGUCUGUCUUAAAAGUUCGGGGCUUAACCCCGUGAUGGGAUGGAAACUGCUGAUCUAGAGUAUCGGAGAGGAAAGUGGAAUUCCUAGUGUAGCGGUGAAAUGCGUAGACAUUAGGAAGAACACCAGUGGCGAAGGCGACUUUCUGGACGAAAACUGACGCUGAGGCGCGAAAGCCAGGGGAGCGAACGGGAUUAGAUACCCCGGUAGUCCUGGCCGUAAACGAUGGGUACUAGGUGUAGGAGGUAUCGACCCCUUCUGUGCCGGAGUUAACGCAAUAAGUACCCCGCCUGGGGAGUACGACCGCAAGGUUG